CGUAAACAAAGGGAAGCGAAGCGGUGACGCCUGGCAAAUCCCAAAAAUAACGUCCCAGUUCGGAUUGUAGCCUGCAACCCGACUACAUGAAGCUGGAAUCGCUAGUAAUCGCGAAUCAGAAUGUCGCGGUGAAUACGUUCCCGGGUCUUGUACACACCGCCCGUCACACCAUGGGAGUCGGAAAUGCCCGAAGUCAGUGACCCAACCGCAAGGGAGGGAGCUGCCGAAGGUGGAGCCGGUAACUGGGGUGAAGUCGUAACAAGGUAUC
rnacentral:rRNA from 1 species